ACAAAACCUCCCCAAGUGUUUUAUUCCUUACUUUCUGUCACUGAGCUUUACUCCUUCUCAAUACAGGAGCAGGAGAAAGCCGUCUGUGUGAAAUAAACCAUCACCACGUAUACAUUCCUACAUUUAGGUUUCCUAAUGUGUUCCUUAGAUGAGUGAGGUGUCUUCUAAAAAUGAUUCGAUUUGGUUCCCUUUCUGAUAGAGAAACAUUCUGUUGUAGAGAUUUACAUAGUACCUUAUCAUCCACUCAUCUAUCCAGUGAGCAGCGUGUGGUUGUGGGUUGAACACCUCCAUAGUGGUCAUGGACGCUCCCUAUUCAAAUAGAGUGGUUUAUAAACAGCAUGUUCUUGGCUGCUCUAGUUUCCAGUGAGCUCUGUGAGAGAUAACACUCCCAUACACUUUAAAUCUGACUGAAGCAGAACUCAGAGAAGGAUGAUUUUAGGACAGUGUAUUUUAUUGCUACUCAUUUCAUAUUCUUAUGGACAGUCCCUGACCUCCUCUGAUUCUGUGGUGAAGAGACCUGGACAGUCGGUCACUCUGUCCUGUACUGUCUCCGGAUUCUCAAUGGGCAGCUACUACAUGCACUGGAUCCGUCAGAAACCAGGACAAGGACUUGAGUGGAUCGGGCUCAUUGAUGGUGGCACUGGCACUGCAUUCGCUCAGUCUCUACAGGGCCAGUUCUCCAUCAAUAAAGACACCAAUAAAAACUUGCUGUACCUAGAAGUGAAGAGUCUGAAAGCUGAAGACACGGCAGUUUAUUACUGUGUACGAGAGUCACACUGA